AAUUGUAUGGAAGAUGUGACCCAGUCUGAAUGUCCAAAUAACCUGACCCAAAAUGCACAACAAGUAUGGCAUAAUCUCUCGCAGCAGACUGACAGUGUCAUGAUCUGUUGCCCCGAUUCCUACUUGCCUUGGUGCAGAUAAUCAUGAAUACGGAGAAUUGGGACCUCAUCACGCUAGAUUCACAGAUGCUGGCCAUCAUUAUUACAAGGUACGUACAGCUUUGGUCCGACCCCCCAGGAAAGCAUGAGGUCAAUUUUGGACAGAGCAUCUGAAGGAUAUAUUGACUUUGCAGAAGGCCCGUACAAAAAGACUGCCCAGAACUGGAUUGUUGGCACGGCGUGGAGUUCAUCUGAGGACAAGCAAUGCUCCAGCGCACGUUGAAUGCCGCUGAAUGUGGUAUUUAUUACACAGAAUGAACGUGGAGUUGGGUUUAAUCACUGCAUUCCUGACAGCACAUCGACGAAAACAAUUUUAAUUAUAAUAUUCAGAGCACUCUACACACAAUCAAACCUCUCAGAACAAUGCACAAAUCACAAGCUACUUAAAUAUACAGGAUUUACUGCAGUACCGUUGUGAAAUGAAUCUGUUAACCGUUCAUAACCGUUAACCUAUCUAGUUUUUAAAAUACUACAAGAACCAGCGAACACCAUAGAUUAAAUGUUGAUGUAGUAAUGAAUAAUUCUCAAUAAACUGUAACAGACAACACUUUUAGACCAACUCUUUUUCAAUAAAACGGCAAUUUAACCAGUGCACCAUGGUUAUUUCAAUGUGAACCGCGGUCUCUUUCAGGAGUCAAUCCAACUGCUAUGGAAAUGAAAUAGAAACGAGGAAAGCUUUCUUACCGGCUGCACUUUCAAACAUUACUCUGAACGUGCGGGCAGGUAUUUCUGCAGAUACCAGCAAACUUGGCUAGUCUACACUUCAAACUUUAAUUCGAAGUUUUUUACUCUAAAGGAAGUCAGCUAGUCCCUUGUGAACUUUCCCAGCGAGUUCUGGCCUGCUUUUGAAAAAAAAAUCAGUUGUUGAAUCGACAUAUGUUUCAAAAAUGCAAAUGACCCAUAAACUCGGCACGGAACUGUGUGCUUGUAGAAAAAUUGUAAAAGCUUCCAAAAUGCAGGAAGUUCGUUCCUCUCUUUUGCUUUACUUUCAAAGCACAAAGACAGACGACCAGAAUUAGGAAAAAGACUAUUUUUAUUGUCUGAAAUCAGAAGUGCUUCGAAUAUUGCUUAACUUUUAAGCUUUAUCACCAGUUCAACGUCUCUUCCAGAGAAACUGACAAGGUGAAUAUAAAUUGAUAAAACAGCUGGCGCUUGGAGCAGAGAUGAAUGACUUCCCCUUCAUCCCAGGAUUUGGGUUCAUUGGGGUCCUUCACCCUGAUUGAAGUAGUUGCAAGAAAGCCCGUAGAUGACCAUUCAGUCCUCCCACCAAUUGAGGAACUUAAGGACCUCAUCCUAAUGCCUCUGGUAUAAACUCAGCAGCAGGUGGGGGACCUGCUAUGGGAGGAACACAACUUGCGAACCCUGGCAGGUUUGUUUUUAGGUACAAAGUGGGCCCUUGCAAACCCUGGCAGGUUUGUUUUUAGGUACAAAGUGAGUCCUUCAUUCAAAGACACUCCAUGCAUCAUUAAGAAAAUUGACAAAGGGCAGUGUGUGGGGAGAGGGAUUGUGUAGAAUGGCAUCAAUCUUACCUUGCUGCCAGCCCCCACAAUGCCUUUCCUGUUAUCACCCAUCUGUGCCAGGAUUACUCCUUGACCUGAGGCAUCAGAUGGGUGAAGUAACAGCAGAAGCCACUGCCACCUAGGUGGCACCACUGAGUACAGAGGAAUGUUGGCCUCUGGGUGGUCAGGACACUUAUCCCAUCAGUCCUCGACCAUGGAGGAUGGCCAGCUACAUGCUGUCAGGCAUUCUUGAAAGUUGGUAAUGUGGGGGUCUUGAUGGUUUCCUAGCCAACAGCCCUGUUGCCAUUGUAAGAUUCUGCCCACCAUUUAAUGGAUUAUAACUGCACUGUGUGGUAAACUUUAAAACCUGUUCCACCUAAGUCUUUGGAAUGGUAAAUAUAGGGAGUGUGAUGGGGUGAUGAGCUUGUAGACAAUUUACAAAAGACAAUUAUUCUUUUUCUAAAAUGCUCUUGAUUGAAAUAAGAUUUUUGCAUGCUUUAUUAUUUUUUUCCUACUUUUUAAUAAGUAAAAGCUCUAAAACUAUGAUGAAUAUUUAUAGUUGAGAAUCGUCACCUUACAAGAUUUUCCAUGCUUUUUAUUACACUUGUUCACAGUUCAUCUGACCUUGUUCUUUCUCACAGUUUACAAUAAUUGCAGCAGUGUUCCAGGUCUUGAUGGAAAUGUACCCAGGAGCUAAUGACUGAAUUUAUCAAAUGGAUAGUAAAGAGCACUCUUGCUCACAAUAAUCUCAAUCUCAAGAGUGGUAUCUGAUUUAUACUAGGGAGAAGGGCUUUGUGUAGUCAAGGCUUUGCCAGCUUUCAGCAUACAGUAUUUAUAAUUUCUAUUGUGCCAUUAAAUAAUGUGUGCACCGUGUAGCCCCAUUAGUAAAAAUUUGCUAGAUUUUAUCUCAUUAAAUGCCUCAUUAGCCACUUAACAAAUGGUUGAGCGUUACUAUUGCUGGUACAUUUCAAUUGGCUAAAUUAUUUACUAUUUUGAAUAAAAUUGAUUUUGCAAUAUCUGCAUUUUACAUUCUGGCAUAUUCCUGUGAGUGGGAGAAAGUGAGGACUGCAG